UACGUAGGGUGCAGGCGUUAAUCGGAAUUACUGGGCGUAAAGCGUGCGCAGGCGGUUUGCUAAGACAGGUGUGAAAUCCCCGGGCUUAACCUGGGAACUGCAUUUGUGACUGCAUAGCUAGAGUACGGUAGAGGGGGAUGGAAUUCCGCGUGUAGCAGUGAAAUGCGUAGAUAUGCGGAGGAACACCGAUGGCGAAGGCAAUCCCCUGGACCUGUACUGACGCUCAUGCACGAAAGCGUGGGGAGCAAACAGG
rnacentral:rRNA from 1 species